GCUGACUUAAGCAUAUCAAUAAGCGGAGGAAGAACCAACAGGGAUUGCCCUAGUAACGGCGAGUGAAGCGGCAACAGCUCAAAUUUGAAAUCUGGCUCUUUUAGAGUCCGAGUUGUAAUUUGCAGAGGGCGCUUUGGCUUUGGCAGCGGUCCAAGUUCCUUGGAACAGGACGUCACAGAGGGUGAGAAUCCCGUACGUGGUCGCUGGCUAUUGCCGUGUAAAGCCCCUUCGACGAGUCGAGUUGUUUGGGAAUGCAGCUCUAAAUGGGAGGUACAUUUCUUCUAAAGCUAAAUAUUGGCCAGAGACCGAUAGCGCACAAGUAGAGUGAUCGAAAGAUGAAAAGCACUUUGGAAAGAGAGUCAAACAGCACGUGAAAUUGUUGAAAGGGAAGCGCUUGCAGCCAGACUUGCUUACAGUUGCUCAUCCGGGUUUCUACCCGGUGCACUCUUCUGUAGGCAGGCCAGCAUCAGUUUGGGCGGUAGGAUAAAGGUCUCUGUCACGUACCUCCUUUCGGGGAGGCCUUAUAGGGGAGACGACAUACUACCAGCCUGGACUGAGGUCCGCGCAUCUGCUAGGAUGCUGGCGUAAUGGCUGUAAGCGGCCCGUCUUGAAACACGGACCAAGGAGUCUAACAUCUAUGCGAGUGUUUGGGUGUCAAGCCCGAGCGCGUAAUGAAAGUGAACGGAGGUGGGAACCCGCAAGGGUGCACCAUCGACCGAUCCUGAUGUCUUCGGAAGGAUUUGAGUAAGAGCAUGGCUGUUGGGACCCGAAAGAUGGUGAACUAUGCUUGAAUAGGGUGAAGCCAGAGGAAACUCUGGUGGAGGCUCGCAGCGGUUCUGACGUGCAAAUCGAUCGUCAAAUUUGGGCAUAGGGCGAAAGACUAAUCGAACUAUCUAGUAGCUGGUCCUGC
rnacentral:rRNA from 1 species